ACGAACGCUGGCGGCGUGCUUAACACAUGCAAGUCGAACGCUGAAGCUUGGUGCUUGCACUGGGUGGAUGAGUGGCGAACGGGUGAGUAAUACGUGAGUAACCUGCCCUUGACUCUGGGAUAAGCCUGGGAAACUGGGUCUAAUACUGGAUACGACAUGUCACUGCAUGGUGGUGUGUGGAAAGGGUUUUACUGGUUUUGGAUGGGCUCACGGCCUAUCAGCUUGUUGGUGGGGUAAUGGCUCACCAAGGCGACGACGGGUAGCCGGCCUGAGAGGGUGACCGGCCACACUGGGACUGAGACACGGCCCAGACUCCUACGGGAGGCAGCAGUGGGGAAUAUUGCACAAUGGGCGGAAGCCUGAUGCAGCGACGCCGCGUGAGGGAUGACGGCCUUCGGGUUGUAAACCUCUUUCAGCACGGAAGAAGCGAAAGUGACGGUACGUGCAGAAGAAGCGCCGGCUAACUACGUG
rnacentral:rRNA from 1 species